CAGUGGUGUUCCUAAGACACAAUGGGGUGAACAGAAAGGCCGUUUGCUGGCCCUGUAGACCACCCAGGGGAGGUGAUUUCCCCGGGCUCUCUCUUCUCUCUCUCACCGCUCCAGGGGAGAGGCGCAGGGAUAGGGGUCAGCCGCUUGCCUCAGGUCUGCGUCUGUUAGGAGGCUCUAAGAAGACCCGAAGGGAAGGGCCUCAGAAGGCUGUGGAGAGAAAACACUAUGAAGCGAGGAGGCGGGCUAGGCCGCAGGAUGUGGGACGGACAUGAAGAAGGAAAGCGUCCCCGAUCCCCGGCUGCCCGCCCACCCACGGCGGACACAGACAAGUAUACAUUCUAAACAGGAUCCUACCUGCUCCGGACAAGAGGCAAGCACACCAGAAUGCUUUCUAGGAGAUCCCACGUAGAACAUAGGGCAUCACAACUAAUGCGUCAGCCUUCAUGAG